rnacentral:rRNA from 1 species
CAGUCGCCGCGGGAAUACGUAGGGUGCAAGCGUUAAACGGAAUUACUGGGCGUAAAGCGUGCGCAGGCGGUUCUAUAAGACAGAUGUGAAAUCCCCGGGCUCAACCUGGGAACUGCAUUUGUGACUGUAAAGCUGGAGUGCGGCAGAGGGGGAUGGAAUUCCGCGUGUAGCAGUGAAAUGCGUAGAUAUGCGGAGGAACACCGAUGGCGAAGGCAAUCCCCUGGGCCUGCACCGACGCUCAUGCACGAAAGCGUGGGGAGCAAACAGGAUUAGAUACCCGCGUAGUCCCUGUCUCUUAUAC